rnacentral:rRNA from 1 species
UACGUAGGGUGCAAGCGUUAAUCGGAAUUACUGGGCGUAAAGCGUGCGCAGGCGGUUCGGAAAGAGAGGUGUGAAAUCCCAGGGCUUAACCUUGGAACUGCACUUUUAACUACCGGGCUAGAGUACGUCAGAGGGGGUAGAAUUCCACGUGUAGCAGUGAAAUGCGUAGAGAUGUGGAGGAAUACCGAUGGCGAAGGCAGCCCCCUGGGAUGAUACUGACGCUCAUGCACGAAAGCGUGGGGAGCAAACAGG